AGAUGGUUGACCAUAGAACAUGCGCUAUCUCUGUGUCGUAUGUAAUAUGGUCCACAUCUU
ncrna:Pan troglodytes (chimpanzee) microRNA ptr-mir-380 precursor